rnacentral:lncRNA from 1 species
UUAAGAACUAAAUUUCAUGAAACAUGGAACAGAAUGAAAAUCUAUAACAAACACUUAAGUGGAAUGACUCCUACCAUACUUCCAAAUGUGAAACACUUUAUUCAUUCUGCCUCCAAAUUCUACACUCCAACAUCCAACCAAUUCAGAGUGAGCUGUCCGAAGAUGCAUGUUUUUCUUGAUGUUUUCCAGGAACUCAUUCAUCUUCGAGGGUUUAAGUGAAUAGGUAUGAAACUCAUAGAAUGUUCCAUCAUUUUGUCUGGGGCCUGUAGCAAAAGAUGAGCAUACCUGAAGAAAGAUAAGACAAAUUUAAAGAUUUUAGAGAGAGAGAAUUUAUUAUGUUAUAACCAAAUCUAUGUUUGUACUUGUCAAUUCUCUAUAGACUUUUUGUUAUGCAGAGAUUAAAGAUAAAAAUCAUUUUUUG